GUCCCUGUAGCUCAGUUGGUAGAGCAUGGUGUUUGCAAUGCCAGGGUUGUGGGUUCGAUUCCCACGGGGGGCC
rfam:Salmo salar isolate Sally breed double haploid chromosome ssa05, whole genome shotgun sequence.